rnacentral:ncRNA from 1 species
GCGAGCGCCUCCUGAAGUAUCGGGCACCAUAGAGGAAACUCUAUGAGUGAAUGUGGUUAAAUUCGGUGAACCCUAAAGAGUAGAAAAGCCCUCAUGGGAAAACUAUAAGGGAAUACCGAGCCAAGCCCAGAAAUUUUAGAUUUUAGAUUUUAGAUUUUAGAUUAGUCGUAUAAUCCAAAAUUCAAAAUCCAAAAUCCAAAAUCGAGGGAAGGUGUAGAGACUAGUAAGCCACCGCCUAAAGGUACAAAGCCUAUGGUGAAGGUAUAGUCCAGAGAGUGGGGAAACUCACAC